GACAGAGGGUGCGAACGUUGCUCGGAAUUACUGGGCGUAAAGCGCGUGUAGGCGGACUCGUAUGUCGGGUGUGAAAUCCCUGGGCUCAACCCAGGAACUGCAUCCGAAACUGCGUGUCUUGAGUGGUGGAGAGGAAGGCGGAAUCUGUGGUGUAGAGGUGAAAUUCGUAGAUAUCACGGGGAACACCGGUGGCGAAGGCGGCCUUCUGGACACUUACUGACGCUGAGACGCGAAAGCGUGGGUAGCAAACAGG
rnacentral:rRNA from 1 species